rnacentral:rRNA from 1 species
UGGGGAAUUUUGGACAAUGGGCGAAAGCCUGAUCCAGCAAUGCCGCGUGUGUGAAGAAGGCCUUCGGGUUGUAAAGCACUUUUGUCCGGAAAGAAAUCCUUGGCUCUAAUACAGUCGGGGGAUGACGGUACCGGAAGAAUAAGCACCGGCUAACUACGUGCCAGCAGCCGCGGUAAUACGUAGGGUGCAAGCGUUAAUCGGAAUUACUGGGCGUAAAGCGUGCGCAGGCGGUUUGCUAAGACCGAUGUGAAAUCCCCGGGCUCAACCUGGGAACUGCAUUGGUGACUGGGCAGGCUAGAGUAUGGCAGAGGGGGGUAGAAUUCCACGUGUAGCAGUGAAAUGCGUAGAGAUGUGGAGGAAUACCGAUGGCGAAGGCAGCCCCCUGGGGCCAAAUACUGACGCUCAUGCACGAAAAGCGUGGGGGAGCAAAACAGGAUUAGAUACCCUGGGUAGUCCACGCCCUAAACGAUGUCAACUAGUUGUUGGGGAUUCAUUUCCUUAGUAACGUAGCUAACGCGUGAAGUUGACCGCCUGGGGA